AACUUUUGGCAAUGGAUCACUUGGCUCUCGCAUCGAUGAAGAACGCAGCGAAAUGCGAUACGUAAUGUGAAUUACAGAAUUCAGUGAAUCAUCGAAUCUUUGAACGCACCUUGCGCUCCCUGGUAUUCCGGGGAGCACGCCUGUUCGAGUGUCGUGAAACUAUCAAGCCGGGGAUGCUUUCUUGCUUCCUGGCUUGGUUUAUUGGGCUUUGCCGUGCCCUUCAUUGGGAACGGCUGGCCUUAAAAGCAUUAGCUGACUCCAUGUGGUUAUUGGUAUUCUACUUGGCGUGAUAAUAAUCUGACCGCUGAGGAAGUGUCCUUUCGGGGAUGGCCAAUUUUCGUGUGGGGUUGCUUCUAAUCUCUGGAGCUCCUGUUCCAUUUUUCAACUUUGGCCUCGAAUCAGGUGGGACUACCCGCUGAACUUAAGCAUAUCAAUAAGCGGAGGCU
rnacentral:misc_RNA from 1 species